UGUUCUCAUGCCCAUUCCGGGGGAGGUGAGCAGCCCCUACCACUACCUCCAGCUCAGUCCCAUUCUAAAGGCAGCCAGGUCAGGAGGUAGGAUGUUCACUCUUCAGGGAAGGGCUGGAAUGGGUUGGCUAGGGCUUCCCUUGACUGUUGAGAAGUUGCUCUCUUCGGAACACCGAGUGCAUGCUUCUGGUUUGGGAUUGGUGAGAAUUUCAAAGCUGCCUUUUUCUGGUUAGGGAUUGGUGGAAAAUCUCCCCUUCCGCUUAAUUGUUGCACACCCCAUGCCCCCAACCCCCUUUAGCAAACUGACCAGAUACAACCCGGGGAGCUUUAAGAGCAGCGAGUGAGCUGCACGCACACAUGGGGAGGGGUGUCAGUGUCACUCUCGGGCCACAUACCACCGAUAUACCAGGGCACAGCGAGGAGGACCCGCCGAAGCAGCAUUUCCUUAGAAUACACUGAUCAACACACAGAUGGCAUUUCCUGGCACCCUGGGCUGUCAGCAGGCAGCCCUCACACAACUGGCAGACACAGCUGGAGCGUCCCUGCACAGCCGGCUCUCUCCCUAUAUUUCUAGUGUUCACUCUGCCCAGGCUGUCGUGAACACCUUACUUUCUGAGCCCCAAACCGGCACUGAUCGCCGAAUUCCCCCUCCCCGAUUCCCGACAGGUGGCACGUACCUGCCUCUUCUUGGAGGAUGGACGAGUCGAACCGGGCACAAGCAUGGAGCUGCGGGUGAGUCCCGGCUGGCGCUGGCGCUGGCGCUGGCGCGGCGCAGUCCGCAGCUGACGCAGAGAGCUCCCCGGCCUCGGCUCCUGCCUGCCUCUCUCCCACCUCCGCCGGGGUCCCAGAAGGGACCUCCCCGGGAAAUCGGCGCCACCCAGCGGGCAGCCGCCUCAUCGCGCCUGGGCCGGCAGAGCCACACCCCCGCGUCUCGCGUCACUGAGUCGCGUCACGGCUAUUGGCUUGUUCCUAUUGUGGCGUCAUUAGAGCCCGGCCCGGCUGGGGUCUCCCAGGCAACCGAUAUACACAGAGAACCACGUGGAGGAAAAGCACGCGAGUUUGGAGUGGGUGGAGCAGGAACAGAGGUGGACUGGAAUGUCACACGACGGGGCAGCUGGAAGGUGCAACCAGAACCCAGCCCAAGAACCUGAGUUGACCAGCCCUUCAGGAGCUACCCUCAUGCCCAUGUUCCAGGCACUAACCCCACUGCAAGCUUUUACUGAGGCUCUUCUUGAUGCACAGGGACCUGUGUUGGGCCACAGGACUGCAAAGCUAAAAUGACACUUGAAAGAUUGAACAAGUGAUUACAAGGCAGUGUGGUGAGUGCCAGCACCCAGCAAAUGCAGACAUUCUGAGAACUCCAAAGAGCCUGGGAGGCCUCCCAGGGAAGGCACCUACUGUCUGGUCUGAAGGAAUGAGAAGCUCAUUGGACAGAGAGGAGAGAAGUCUAUUUAAGGCUAAGUUCCCACCUGGUGGGAAGCACUGUGCAGGUUCCUGGGGAUGCAGCCCUGCACAGCCCAGACUGGACUCCUUCCCCAUGGGGCUUACAACACACGGGAGAGGCAGAGAGAUUCAAGCGCACAGAAAAACACAUGAAGAUUCAGCCCUGUCAUCUUGUGCUAAGUGAGUUCCACAUAAUUCAAUUAUAAAAUGAAAGAUUGUGUUUCUGUGAGCUUCAUAAAAAUGAAUUAUUUCUCUGUCACAAAAAGUAAAGAUAGUGCAAAUGACA